UACGGAGGGGGCUAGCGUUGUUCGGAAUUACUGGGCGUAAAGCGCACGUAGGCGGCUUUGUAAGUCAGAGGUGAAAGCCCAGGGCUUAACCCUGGAAUUGCCUUUAAGACUGCAUCGCUAGAAUCGUGGAGAGGUAAGUGGAAUUCCGAGUGUAGAGGUGAAAUUCGUAGAUAUUCGGAAGAACACCAGUGGCGAAGGCGACUUACUGGACACGUAUUGACGCUGAGGUGCGAAAGCGUGGGGAGCAAACAGG
rnacentral:rRNA from 1 species